rnacentral:rRNA from 1 species
UAGUAACGGCGAGUGAAGCGGCAACAGCUCAAAUUUGAAAUCUGGCUUCGGCCCGAGUUGUAAUUUGCAGAGGAAGCUUUAGGCGCGGCACCUUCUGAGUCCCCUGGAACGGGGCGCCAUAGAGGGUGAGAGCCCCGUAUAGUUGGAUGCCUAGCCUGUGUAAAGCUCCUUCGACGAGUCGAGUAGUUUGGGAAUGCUGCUCAAAAUGGGAGGUAAAUUUCUUCUAAAGCUAAAUACCGGCCAGAGACCGAUAGCGCACAAGUAGAGUGAUCGAAAGAUGAAAAGCACUUUGAAAAGAGGGUUAAAUAGCACGUGAAAUUGUUGAAAGGGAAGCGCUUGUGACCAGACUUGCGCCGGGCUGAUCAUCCGGUGUUCUCACCGGUGCACUCUGCCCGGCUCAGGCCAGCAUCGGUUCUAGCGGGGGGAUAAAGGCCCCGGGAAUGUAGCUCCCACGGGAAUGGUAUAGCCCGGGGCGUAAUGCCCUCGCGGGGACCGAGGUUCGCGCAUCU